rnacentral:rRNA from 1 species
GUCUACAGCCAUGCCACCCUGAACGAGCCUGAUCCCAUCUGAUCUUAGAAACUAAGCAGGGUCGGGCCUGGUUAGUACUUGGAUGGGAGACCACCUAGGAAGACUACAUGCUGUAGGUA